rnacentral:rRNA from 1 species
UACAGAGGUCCCGAGCGUUGUUCGGAUUCAUUGGGCGUAAAGGGUGCGUAGGCGGUCUGCUAAGUUUGAUGUGAAAUCCCGGGGCUCAACCCUGGAAUGGCAUUGAAUACUGGCGGACUAGAGUACCGGAGAGGAAACUGGAAUUUACGGUGUAGCAGUGAAAUGCGUAGAGAUCGUAAGGAAGACCAGUGGCGAAGGCGAGUUUCUGGACGGUAACUGACGCUGAGGCACGAAGGCCGGGGGAGCAAACGGG